rnacentral:rRNA from 1 species
CCUACGGGUGGCAGCAGUGAGGAAUAUUGCACAAUGGGGGAAACCCUGAUGCAGCGACGCCGCGUGAGUGAAGAAGUAAUUCGGUAUGUAAAGCUCUAUCAGCAGGGAAGAAAAUGACGGUACCUGAGUAAGAAGCCCUGGCUAACUACGUGCCAGCAGCCGCGGUAAUACGUAGGGGGCAAGCGUUAUCCGGAUUUACUGGGUGUAAAGGGAGCGUAGACGGCAGUGCAAGUCUGGAGUGAAAGGCGGGGGCUCAACCCCCGGACUGCUCUGGAAACUGUACGGCUGGAGUGCAGGAGAGGUAAGCGGAAUUCGUAGUGUAGCGGUGAAAUGCGUAGAUAUUAGGAGGAACACCAGUGGCGAAGGCGGCUUACUGGACUGUAACUGACGUUGAGGCUCGAAAGCGUGGGGAGCAAACAGGAUUAGAUACCCGUGUAGUC